UAAAUGUUGGGUGAGCAUCUGGGGAGGACUCUGCUACCCGGAAUAGGAAUGGGUGAAAGGGCAGGUUCAGGUUAAUAGCUAAUGCCCCCACCCCCACCCCCGCCCCGGCCGUGUCGUCCCCUGAUGGUAACUAUUGGUUGAACAGUUGCAGGCUUUGAGCUGGGCGAGUGAGACGGGGCCCUUUGUUUGAAACUGAUUCAUGCACCUGUCAGACCUGCAGGAGCCCGAGUGUGAUCGCCUCUGCCCCGAAGAACUUUGAAUCCUGGAGUAGGGGAUGUGAGCAAAAGCGCAUGAGGAGUUCCUGCUGCACUUGUCCGCUACCUAGUUGGUUACAUUUUCUGACCCUGGAGAAGUGGCCUUUUGUAGGAGAUGUCCUAUGCAUCCCAGCAGUGCACUCACCUCUGGUCAGCAG